rnacentral:rRNA from 1 species
AUUGAACGCUGGCGGCAUGCCUUACACACGCAAGUCGAACGGCAGCAUGAUCUAGCUUGCUAGAUUGAUGGCGAGUGGCGAACGGGUGAGUAAUACAUCGGAACGUGCCCUGUAGUGGGGGAUAACUAGUCGAAAGAUUAGCUAAUACCGCAUACGACCUGAGGGUGAAAGUGGGGGACCGCAAGGCCUCAUGCCAUAGGAGCGGCCGAUGUCUGAUUAGCUAGUUGGUGAGGUAAAGGCUCACCAAGGCCACGAUCAGUAGCUGGUCUGAGAGGACGAUCAGCCACACUGGGACUGAGACACGGCCCAGACUCCUACGGGAGGCAGCAGUGGGGAAUUUUGGACAAUGGGGGCAACCCUGAUCCAGCAAUGCCGCGUGUGUGAAGAAGGCCUUCGGGUUGUAAAGCACUUUUGUCCGGAAAGAAAUCGCACUUACUAAUAUUAGGUGUGGAUGACGGUACCGGAAGAAUAAGGACCGGCUAACUACGUGCCAGCAGCCGCCGUAACAC